GAUGAAGAACGUAGCGAAAUGCGAUAAGUAAUGUGAAUUGCAGAAUUCAGUGAAUCAUCGAAUCUUUGAACGCACCUUGCACCUUUUGGUAUUCCGAAAGGCACACCUGUUUGAGCGUCAUGAAUACCUCAAUCUCCAUCUUUUCUUCGGAUUGAUGGGUGACUUGGAUGUUGAGCCCUGCUGGUAUGCUAUAUCAGCUGGCUUUAAACUUAUUAGCCGGCUCUGUACUGGAUCGGUUUGACUCGACGUGAUAAUAUUAUCGUUGAGGAUGCAUGUCUCAUGCAGCCGGAAAGUAUCAAAGCAGCUUCUAGCUUGCCUUUAGUGCACUUUUACAUUUUAGACCUCAGAUCAGGUGGGACUACCCGCUGAACUUAAGCAUAUCAAUAAGCGGAGGA
rnacentral:misc_RNA from 1 species